rnacentral:rRNA from 1 species
UAUUGGGCAAUGGGCGCAAGCCUGACCCAGCAACGCCGCGUGAAGGAAGAAGGCUUUCGGGUUGUAAACUCCUUUUGUCAGGGACGAAGCAAGUGACGGAACCUGACGAAUAAGCUCCGGCUAACUCCGUGCCAGCAGCCGCGGUAAUACGUAGGUGGCAAGCGUUAUCCGGAUUUACUGGGUGUAAAGGGCGUGUAGGCGGGGAAGCAAGUCAGAUGUGAAAACCACGGGCUCAACCUGUGGCCUGCAUUUGAAACUGUUUUUCUUGGGUGCUGGAGAGGCAAUCGGAAUUCCGUGUGUAGCGGUGAAAUGCGUAGAUAUACGGAGGAACACCAGUGGCGAAGGCGGAUUGCAGGACAGUAACUGACGCUGAGGCGCGAAAGCGUGGGGAGCAAACA